rnacentral:ribozyme from 1 species
AGAGGUCACAAGUCUGAGGCCAUAGCAGAAGCACUCAUGCUGCAGCCAUGCCAGACUCCAACAAAUCUGCAAAUUCUAUU